GGAUUCCUGAGGAGUCCCACAAUAGGACGAAACAGCCGUCCAAGAC
rnacentral:hammerhead_ribozyme from 1 species